rnacentral:rRNA from 1 species
CCAGCCGUAAACGAUGUGCGUUAGGUGUAUCGGUGACCACGAGUCACCGAGGUGCCGAAGAGAAAUCGUGAAACGUACCGCCUGGGAAGUACGGUCGCAAGGCUGAAACUUAAAGGAAUUGGCGGGGGAGCACCACAACAGGUGGAGCCUGCGGUUUAAUCGGACUCAACGCCGGGAAACUCACCAGAUAAGACAGCUGAAUGAUAGUCGGGCUGAAGACUCUACUUGACUAGCUGAGAGGAGG